rnacentral:rRNA from 1 species
UACGGGGGGGGCAAGCGUUGUUCGGAAUUACUGGGCGUAAAGGGCUCGUAGGCGGCCAACUAAGUCAGACGUGAAAUCCCUCGGCUUAACCGGGGAACUGCGUCUGAUACUGGAUGGCUAGAGGUCCGGAGGGGAGAGUGGAAUUCCCGGUGGAGCGGUGAAAUGCGUAGAGAUCGGGAAGAACGCCGGCGGCGAAAGCGACUCUCUGGGCCCUACCUGACGCUGAGACGCGAAAGCGUGGGGAGCGAACCGG